rnacentral:rRNA from 1 species
CUGGUUGAUCCUGCCAGUAGUCAUAUGCUUGUCUUAAAGAUUAAGCCAUGCAUGUCUAAGUGCAAGCUCAAGCAAAGUGGAACCGCGAAUGGCUCAUUAAAUCAGUUAUGGUUCAUUCGAUAGAUGCCGUUACAUGGAUAACCCUGGGAAAUCUAGAGCUAAUACAUGUCACCCGCUCCGACCUCGCGGAACGAGCGCAUUUGUCAGACUAAAAACCAAUCGGGCCUCGGUCCGUUCAGUGGUGAAUCAUGGCAAACCGUCACGCUGACCGCGCGGUCUAGAACCGGCGGUGUGUCGUUCGAAUGUCUGCCUUAUCAACUUUCGAUGGUAGGUUAAGUGCCUACCAUGGUUAUAACGGGUAACGGGGAAUCAGGGUUCGAUUCCGGAGAGGGAGCCUGAGAAACGGCUACCACUUCUACGGAAGGCAGCAGGCACGCAAAUUACCCACUCCCGGCUCGGGGAGGUAGUGACAAGAAAUAACAAUACGGGACUCGAAACGAGGCCUCGUAAUUGGAAUGAGUACACUUUAAAUCCUUUAACGAGGAUCUAUUGGAGGGCAAGUCUGGU